CGGACGGGUGAGUAACACGUGGAUAACCCACCUAUAAGACUGGGAUAACUUCGGGAAACCGGAGCUAAUACCGGAUAAUAUAUUGAACCGCAUGGUUCAAUAGUGAAAGACGGUUUUGCUGUCACUUAUAGAUGGAUCCGCGCCGCAUUAGCUAGUUGGUAAGGUAACGGCUUACCAAGGCAACGAUGCGUAGCCGACCUGAGAGGGUGAUCGGCCACACUGGAACUGAGACACGGUCCAG
rnacentral:rRNA from 1 species